rnacentral:tRNA from 1 species
GGCCCCGUAGUUCAAUGGAUAGAAUAGAAGUUUCCUAAACUUUUGAUACAGGUUCGAUUCCUGUCGGGGCUACCA